UACAGAGGUCCCGAGCGUUGUUCGGAUUUACUGGGCGUAAAGGGCGCGUAGGCGCUUGUCAGUCAGGCGUGAAAGCCCCGGGCUCAACCUGGGAACGGCGCUUGGGACGGCGAGGCUGGAGUUCGGGAGAGGAGAGUGGAAUUCCCAGUGUAGAGGUGAAAUUCGUAGAUAUUGGGAAGAACACCGGUGGCGAAGGCGGCUCUCUGGACCGACACUGACGCUGAGGCGCGAAAGCGUGGGAGCAACAGG
rnacentral:rRNA from 1 species